AGUAAGAGUACCCUAGUCGGGGGUUUCCGACUUACUUCAAAAUUCAAAAUUCUGGAGUUGACACAAAAUCGUACAGCGCGGGUACUAGAUACUAUAUGACAGAUCGACAUGGCCAUAUCGACUUUAUCAUGUCGAACAUAUCUCCUGUUUAAUACGUUGACAUAAAAGCAAUAUACCCUCUUCGACUCAUUUUCAAUGGUUACAGGAUAUGAGAAAAAUAAUUUUAUAUAAUACAAGUUUAUUAUAUAAUUUAUUUUCUUCUCAUAAAGUCUUAUACAAAUGUUUGUUUAACUAGGGAUCGGGAUGUCCAUAUGGCCAUAUCUAAUACGAAUUAAGCCACGUCCAAUUACUCCAGUCUCUGGCCUUAUAAAAACGUUUGUGCACAAGUUAUUCCGUGUUAGUAUAAAAUACUUGUAGAAAUGAAAGUUAUAUUUGAAAUAUUACUCCUUGCAAUUUUAACGAACAUUCUCACAGCCGAAGGGCGCAAUUAUAUUAAAAGUCGUAAUUCACAACCCAAGGAUUCAUCCCAGCAACAACUACUUGAAAGUAGCAAUGGUCGAAUACAGAAUAACGUUUCUUUGAGAAAUCAGCAACAACGGUUUUUGGGAACUUUAAAAAGAAUUUGGAAAUUUAUUAAGAAAUUGUUUAAACCCAAGCGAAGGCGCCAUCGAAGACCCAAGACCCAAGACGGCCAAGACGACGGUCAGGAUUUCCAUCCAAACCAUAAAGACCGAAGCCGACGUCAAAGAAACCAAAACUGACAAAACCAACAAAGAAACCCAGCCCGAAGAUAAAAAAAAAAACAAUAAAUGUAAAAAAGAAGAAAACAAAACACGAAAGGAUUCCGAUACACAACUGAAGAUGCGACAACAUCCUGAACCUGAAUCUACUGAGGCGAUGACAGAUCCUAAAUCUACACGAGGUACUGGGGAAUCUAGGCGAAAAAAUGUAUCAGAUUAUAAACAAUAAAUUAACACUACAUCCGGGAAAAGAUGACGGCAUA